rnacentral:misc_RNA from 1 species
ACCUGGCGACAACGCCUUCAAUACUUCAUCCAUGUACUCCACCGCGCUCGCUGUUGUGGUCACGGACGACUUCAAGUUGGGCAUGAUGAUGUCCCUCCCAAAAUGCCUCGCACUGCCACAAAACCUCAGAAACAUUGUCGAACACCCGGCAUGCACCGCCAAAAAUCAAGCAGCACCUACACCAAACGAACUUGUGUGGCACUGCAGCCUGAAGGACAGCAUCAUCACGAAAAUGAAGGUGCCAAGCGAGGCGCUCACCACCUCCCAAAAUGCCUCGCACUGCCACAGAACCUUGGAAACAUUAAGUCG